rnacentral:rRNA from 1 species
UACAGAGGGGGCAAGCGUUGUUCGGAAUUACUGGGCGUAAAGGGCGCGUAGGCGGCCUGUUAAGUCGAACGUGAAAUCCCCGGGCUCAACCCGGGAACUGCGUCCGAUACUGGCAGGCUUGAAUUCGGGAGAGGGAUGUGGAAUUCCAGGUGUAGCGGUGAAAUGCGUAGAUAUCAAGAGGAACACCUGAGGUGAAGACGGGUUGCUGGGCCAACACUGACGCUGAGGCGCGAAAGCCAGGGGAGCAAACGGG